AAGAAUGUGAAAGAAGACGCAGACUUUAUCAUAAUGCACUUGAAGUGUUUUUGUUUCAAAUCCUUUUUAAUGGAAGACAGUUAUGGGUUGAUGCUGCAAGAGAAGAUGGCUCGUUGGGUAGACUUAUUAAUGACAAUCAUAUAAACCCAAACAGCAAAAUGAAAAUAAUCAAUGUUGAUAGAAAACCCCAUUUGUGCUUAUUCACAACAAAGGACAUCAGUCCAGGACAAGAGAUCACUUAUAACUAUGAUGUUUCAGAAUGGCCAUGGAGGAACAAGGUGACCUCUGACACUGAAAUCCAGACCAAUAUUUCACUCCGC